GAUGAAGAACGUAGCGAAAUGCGAUACUUGGUGUGAAUUGCAGAAUCCCGUGAACCAUCAAGUCUUUGAACGCAAGUUGCGCCCGAAGCCACUAGGCCGAGGGCACGCCUGCCUGGGCGUCACACGCCGUUGCCCCCCCAUCUACUCCUUCGGGAUUGCGGGGGGGCGGAUGAUGGCCUCCCGUGCGCCUAGCCGCGCGGUUGGCAUAAAUACCAAGUCCUCGGCGACGCACGCCACGACAAUCGGUGGUUGCGAAACCUCGGUUGCCCGUCGUGUGCGUUCGUCGCGCAUCGAGGGCUCGAAAAAAUGCUCGGCUCCGGCUGGGCUUUCAACGCGACCCCAGGUCAGGCGGGGUUACCCGCUGAAUUUAAGCAUAUCAAUAAGCGGAGGA
rnacentral:misc_RNA from 1 species